rnacentral:rRNA from 1 species
AUUGAACGCUGGCGGCAGGCCUAACACAUGCAAGUCGAACGAGUGGCGGACGGGUGAGUAAUGUCUGGGAAACUGCCCGAUGGAGGGGUAUAACUACUGGAAACGGUAUCUAAUACCGCAUACCAUCGGAUGUGCCCAGAUGGGAUUAGCUUGGAGGUGGGGUAACGGCUCACCAAGGCGACGAUCCCUAGCUGGUCUGAGAGGAUGACCAGCCACACUGGAACUGAGACACGGUCCAGACUCCUACGGGAGGCAGCAGUGGGGAAUAUUGCACAAUGGGCGCAAGCCUGAUGCAGCCAUGCCGCGUGUAUGAAGAAGGCCUUAGGGUUGUAAAGUACUUUCAGUGAGGAGGCGUUACCCGCAGAAGAAGCACCGGCUAACUCCGUGCCAGCAGCCGCGGUAAUUC